GGAUUGUGGCUCAGAGGCAUAGUGCUUGCCUGGCAUGCCUGAGGCACUGGGUUCAAUCCUCAGCACCA
rnacentral:tRNA from 1 species